rnacentral:rRNA from 1 species
UACGUAGGUGGCAAGCGUUGUCCGGAUUUAUUGGGUUUAAAGGGUGCGUAGGCGGUCCUAUAAGUCAAUGGUGAAAUACGGCAGCUCAACUGUCGAGGUGCCAUUGAUACUGCAGGACUAGAGUACUGAUGAGGUAGACGGAAUGGACGGUGUAGCGGUGAAAUGCUUAGAUAUCGUCCAGAACACCGAUAGCGAAGGCAACUUACUAAAGAGUAACUAACGCUGAAGCACGAAAGUGUAGGGAUCAAAC